UUGGGUAAUUAUGAGGGUAUAUACAUGCAUCAUGUCUCAUAGAAUCUGUCAAAUAAAUUUUUAAAUGUCACAGGGAAAUGUUUAUAACGUUUUUUAUUUGUAUGCGUUUAUGCCAUGUUUAUAUAAUUACAAGAUGAAUUAAAUAGCUUUUUUUGUCAUUACAGAAUAUGUCUAAAUCAAACCCCAAAAGCCACAAGGCGAUGGAUGACACAGAGUGGGCCUCAAGGCUUAGGUCUUUUGCUUCCUCUGGUGUUUGGCCAUCACAUGCAGGCAACAGACCUGCUCCAAGGCAACAAAAGUGGUACUCCCUGUAUCAGAAGAUAGAAAAGUGUCCACUACAGCUGAGAGGCCAGCGGACACUUUUAUCCCAACCACAAAAGUGUUUGUGUGGGUAUCAUCUUCCUAAGUUAUGCAACAGGUCUGUUCAACAGCAGAGGAAAAGGAUUAGCAGGUGCCCACACCCUCAUCUACACCCACAAGCAGUGGAGGCCAAUCAAGUCAAAUGAGUUCCACAGUGCUCCAGACUGCUGUUCCAAUCCAACACCCCACAGCGUGCACCACAUCUGGAACUCCGGCAAAAAGGCCAAAGCUCACCCUGUCUUCAUUUGAAAGGUCCAGAUUUGGUGGCAAGCAUGUGGAGAGUGCAAAGCCAAACAUAAAUCUUGCACGGAAACCUUGUACUAAUGUAACACCUACUUGUACAAGCACAGCAGCCGAUUCGUGUGAGGAUCCAGUGCCAGGCAGCUCUCUUCACAACGUCUUUCAACAACAGCCACAAAGAACAGAGACCUUUUAUCUUGCCCCACCUUUACCAGCUCCGAAAAGACAGAGACCGGUGGAGGAGCAAAGUUCAGCAGUGAAUGCAAACCCAUUCCAGCCUGAGAACACUGGUGAGCUGCCACUUCUUUGGCCUAAGACCAUGCCAGAGGAGGAUCACCAGUGGGUUUCAACAGCCUUA